rnacentral:lncRNA from 1 species
CUAGGUUUUACUGCAUUCGCAAACAAACCCUGAAUUAAUUAGCAUAAAAUAAUUAUCAUAUGCCCACAAUAAAUACUCAAAACAAGUCUAUGGGAAGUUCUGCCAUUAUAGACGGAAACUUAGACUGACAGAGGAUGAACUUGAGCUUUUUUUAAGUGUUUCACCCCCAAAUAAAGGGCCAGUUGGUGUACCUUGUACUCUAUACUAUAAAGAAAGAGGCACACUUCUUUAUUGGCCACAUUUGAUAAUAGAAGUGACACAACAACUUCUGCAUGUGCUGUGUCGUCUGCCUGGAAUGUCAUUCUCCCAGAAUAAUCCAUUUACCAAGUGGCUUUUUAAGCUUUCAGCUCUCAAUGGCGGGCAAAGAAAGAGAAGGCUUCCUAUCAAGUAUGAGCAAAAGUGUCAGCUCUUCUGCUUCUUUGGCCAAAUGAUCUAGUGUAUCUUAUACAAUUUCAAGUUUCCUUGGCAGAUAAGAAAGCUUUAUGGAAACUGUCAAUUACUGAUGGAAAUAUCAUGGCACAGACACUUACUGCUAUGAGAAAGCUUUGGAGAAGACUAUGUGCUUUUCUUGAGAAAACUAUUCCACCUUUUAAAGACAGAAAUCAGCUUAUGACUGGGUCCCUAUGGAGACAGAAUACUUUAUUGUGGGAUACAAAACUUAUGAACCUGAGCUACUUAACCUCUGUGUAUAUAAUCCCUAGAUUACACCAAGUGUAUGGCAUGUAGCAGAAUCCUGUCUUUAGAAGACAAUUGGAUUCCUAAUGAUCCUGAAGGAACCAGUAUUUGCUUAAAUGGUCUGUUGAGGAAAACAUCUCUGGGAAACUAGCCAUUAAUGGAAUCAGUGGAAGUCGACAGUUAAACAUUAGCUGGAGGAUUUAAAAAUUACUUGUGUCUGCUUGGCAAGUACACUAUAACUGAUGUUAUAAACCCAAUGAUACAAAAAGUCUUGCUUGAGUGGAAGGGAGGCAUUCAAGGACCAAUGGGAUUCUCAACUUAUUUAGGUGGUAUCACUGGUGAUGAUGUAUCUUCAUAAGAAUUGAACAGAAAAAGAUGCUCUUUUAACCAACAAGAUAAAUGUAUUUGUUUGUUAAGCUUUUUUUCCGCAACCAUUUUUAUGCAAUUAAGUUAUUUAUACUUUAAAAUUGUAAAAUUAUUUAAUCUCUCCAUGCAUUAGUUCCAUCUUCUGUGAAAUAGGGCAAUAAUUUUGUCAAACUCAUAGAGUGCUUUUUGGAUUAAAUGAUAUAAUACAGGUGGAGCAUUUAGAAAAAGUACCUAGAAACUCAG